AAUGAACGCUGGCGGCAGGCCUAACACAUGCAAGUCGAGCGGUAGCACAGGAGAGCUUGCUCUCCGGGUGACGAGCGGCGGACGGGUGAGUAAUGUCUGGGAAACUGCCUGAUGGAGGGGGAUAACUACUGGAAACGGUAGCUAAUACCGCAUAACGUCGCAAGACCAAAGAGGGGGACCUUCGGGCCUCUUGCCAUCAGAUGUGCCCAGAUGGGAUUAGCUAGUAGGUGGGGUAACGGCUCACCUAGGCGACGAUCCCUAGCUGGUCUGAGAGGAUGACCAGCCACACUGGAACUGAGACACGGUCCAGACUCCUACGGGAGGCAGCAGUGGGGAAUAUUGCACAAUGGGCGCAAGCCUGAUGCAGCCAUGCCGCGUGUAUGAAGAAGGCCUUCGGGUUGUAAAGUACUUUCAGCGGGGAGGAAGGUGUUGUGGUUAAUAACCACAGCAAUUGACGUUACCCGCAGAAGAAGCACCGGCUAACUCCGUGCCAGCCGCCGCCGUAA
rnacentral:rRNA from 1 species